AAGGGCACCACCAGGAGUGGAGCAUGCGGCUUAAUUUGCCUCCACACGGGAAAACUCACCCGGCCUGGACCCUGUGAGGAUUGACAGAUUGAUAGCUCUUUCUUGAUUUGGCGGUUGGUGGUGCAUGGCCGU
rnacentral:ncRNA from 1 species